rnacentral:rRNA from 1 species
UACGUAGGACGCAAGCAUUAUCCGGAAUUACUGGGCGUAAAGAGCACGCAGGCGGUCUGAUAAGUCAGGUAUGAAAGCUCCAGGCUAAACUUGGAGAGGCUACUUGAUACUGUUAGACUUGAGUGGGGAAGAGGGGCGUAGAAUUCCGCGUGUAGUGGUAAAAUGCGUAGAUAUGCGGAGGAAUACCAGAGGCGAAGGCGACGCUCUGGUCCCCAACUGACGCUGAGGUGCGAAAGCAUGGGGAGUGAACGGG